rnacentral:lncRNA from 1 species
AAAAAAGAGAGCUGUGCCUCGGCUUGGACGUCAGAGGGAAUCCUGUCUCUGAUUGGCCAAGGGAUGAAGGCUGAAUUUAAAGAGACAGGCUAGCAAAGGCAACCUGGUUCGGAAGGUGAACGGGUGGGCUCGGGCUUGCUCCCGGCACCGAGAAUUGAACAUUACUUCAAGGACCUUGGAUGUCACAGGAAUAGUAGCAGAUCGAUUUACUGCUUGCGGCCUCUCUUGAGCUUUCUGAAAGCACUGGCAUGAGGAAGAUGAUUGGUGAUUGCACAGGACUGGUUUCCCCUUGGUGGUUGGCACCCUGAGUCUCGCAUAUCGUACAGAAGUCAGUCCCACUUAUUUCAACACAACUGCUUUGUAUGCCAGUCUAAUUGCGCCAAUAUCAUGUGCUUCUGUUUUUCUCUGUGCUAAGAGUAAUGUUUUAAAUGUUAAGACUUGUGCGCUCCAGGCCAACCUCAAAAUUCAGAGAUCUUAUUAGGCAAGGGCAGUGAUGGAGGUGAUUUUAUAAGCUGGGAUGACCAAAGUUAACUCUUUGCUUCUAGAGGUCACUGAACUAUGGCUCCC